rnacentral:miRNA from 1 species
CUCAUUGUGUGGGCGGCCAUAAUGGUGUCUCCUCCUGAGGGGAAAGAGGAGAAAGAGGAGGAGGUGGGGGAGGAGGGAGAGGGGGCUGGAGUUAGAGGAGGGAGAAAAGA